AUCGUACCCCAAACCGACACAGGUGGUCAGGUAGAGAAUACCAAGGCGCUUGAGAGAACUCGGGUGAAGGAACUAGGCAAAAUGGUGCCGUAACUUCGGGAGAAGGCACGCUGAUAUGUAGGUGAAGUCCCUUGCGGAUGGAGCUGAAAUCAGUCGAAGAUACCAGCUGGCUGCAACUGUUUAUUAAAAACACAGCACUGUGCAAACACGAAAGUGGACGUAUACGGUGUGACGCCUGCCCGGUGCCGGAAGGUUAAUUGAUGGG
rnacentral:rRNA from 1 species